rnacentral:hammerhead_ribozyme from 1 species
AUCCAGACGACGAGUCUCAAAUAGGACGAAAUACGCAUCCUCGAU